UACGUAGGGUGCGAGCGUUGUCCGGAAUUAUUGGGCGUAAAGGGCUCGUAGGCGGUUGUCGCGUCGGGAGUGAAAUCCACUGGCUUAACUGGUGGCUUGCUUCGAUACGGGCAGACUGGAGGUAUGCAGGGGAGAACGGAAUUCCUGGUGUAGCGGUGAAAUGCGCAGAUAUCAGGAGGAACACCGGUGGCGAAGGCGGUCUCUGGCAUGUCCUGACGCUGAGGAGCGAAAGUGUGGGAGGCGAACAGG
rnacentral:rRNA from 1 species